rnacentral:lncRNA from 1 species
CUCCUGUGGAAGGGAAGGAUUGCCGGGGCUGUGUCACCAGCACCUGGGACAAGGUCUCCGAACGAGGACCCUGAAGAGAAGGCUAUGCAGGGGGACGGGCCGCUGCCUGGCUCAGGGCUUCCCUCUGGUUUCUUCACGGUCCACAGAUGCUACCCGGAGCCUUUCUCGAAAGCGCUGACUCAGUGUCUCAGGUGCGCGCCCGAGGAGUGGCAAACCCGGCCUGGCUCAGAAAGGGGGCAGGAGCCUCGUGAGAAUCUUCCAUGAGCAUCUUCCGAGGGGAUUCCUGUCCUGUCUUCUCUGUGUGAACGCCAGUGUGGACAGAUGAGGAUAGAUGAUGGAGUCCAGGCCACCCAGGAGGGGGUGAUGGGGACCAUGCGUGGCCCCUGCCUGGGACUUCCCUCCCCACACACCCCUUGGCAUUAACGUCUCCACAGAGGGGAGAGGGUUAUAGGACAACCUGGUGUGGGGGGCGCCGGGGACUCUCAAGAGCCCCCACUGUCCAGAUGCUGGUCUUGCCUUUUGUAAAAGGACAUCAGUGCCUCACUGUGCCGCUGACACCUGGUGAGAACUCUCAAAAGGAAGCUUCCCUUACGGGAACGGGGAUUUCCUGAGAGUCCAGCGAUGGACAGAGGGCAGGAGACCCGCUAGGUGCACCCAGAAGCUCAAAAGGAACAGUGGAUGUGCAGUGUGUAGUUUUAUUUGUUUUUAUUUCCAUAACACAAGAGAGGAAGCGAAGGGCCAGGGCCCGAGGCAUCCCCUGCACGGUUCGAAGGCUUUCAACCGUCCCGG